UCCUCCCGUCUUCCUCCUUCCAGAAACAACUGCGGUGACUUCCUUCGUUGAUUAGGGUUCUGCUCUAGCGAUUCGGAUUUCGGAGGCAAUUCAGAGAUUGGUGGACGAGUUCUUCGCAGAUUAGGCUAUUAUAAAUCGAUUGAAAUUGGUGUGUGCUAUCUUAUCAUGUUAACAAAGAUGAAGUUUUUGAGUAGACAAGAGAAGAAACUGCUACAUGAAGUGAAGACGUCCCCAUUGAGUAGUCGAUUGAGCUUUCUCUUUGAUUCAAAUUGAAAGAGAACUAGAAAAGUUUUCUAUAGUUGGCCACUGAAUGAAUUCUGUUGCUAUUUAGACUUAGAUAAAGGAUUUUUUUUGCGAGAAUAAGAAUGGAAAAUAUUUGUUUAUAAUUAAAGUUAUACAAACACGCAAGCCUGGGAUCAACAAAGAAUUCCUGGUUCUCGUGAA